GGGGGUUGACAUGCAAGAAAAUAUGCAGGACUUAUCUCACCAUAGGUCAGCUGGUAACCCAAGGUGUGGUGCCUGCUACUCAGUCCUUCCAGCUAGUACAAAUAACUUUUAUGAAUGCUUUCAAGUUAUGAAGUGAGGGUCCCUCCCUUGUACUUUGCCCUGCUUUCUGAUAUUGGUGCCUCUGCAGUAAUAAGCAAAGGGAGGUUUAUGAAAAGGAGGCUAUUAUAUCACUACGAACUUUACUUUUCUCAUUUUGUCAACUAAUAUUGCCAUUUUUGAAAUUCUCUAUCCUAUAGGAUGUAUGGCUGAAAAAAAAGAAAUUUAUGUAAAAAUGUAUUUUAAAUGGUAAAAUAUUAAGAAAAUAUCAAUCCAUGUCAUUCUUAUUUUCUUAUUACUAUUAUCAAUAUUAAUUUCAAUUCUGUCUAAGGACUCCUGUGUUAAUGUUGUCAACGAAGAAAAUGAUGGAAUAUUGUGAAAUAAACAAAAAUGUUGUGAAUUA